UACAGAGGGUGCGAGCGUUGUUCGGAAUUAUUGGGCGUAAAGCGCUUGUAGGCGGCUUGUUAAGUUCCGUGUGAAAUCCCCAGGCUUAACCUGGGAAGUGCGCGGGAAACUGGCGAGCUUGAGUGCCGGAGAGGGUCGCGGAAUUCCCGGUGUAGAGGUGAAAUUCGUAGAUAUCGGGAGGAACACCAGUGGCGAAGGCGGCGACCUGGACGGACACUGACGCUGAGACGCGAAAGCGUGGGGAGCGAACAGG
rnacentral:rRNA from 1 species